UGGGGAAUAUUGCACAAUGGGGGAAACCCUGAUGCAGCAACGCCGCGUGAGUGAUGACGGUCUUCGGAUUGUAAAGCUCUGUCUUUGGGGACGAUAAUGACGGUACCCAAGGAGGAAGCCACGGCUAACUACGUGCCAGCAGCCGCGGUAAUACGUAGGUGGCGAGCGUUAUCCGGAAUUAUUGGGCGUAAAGGGAGCGUAGGCGGAUAAUUAAGUGGGAUGUGAAAUACCAAAGCUCAACUUUGGGGCUGCAUUCCAAACUGAUUAUCUAGAGUGCAGGAGAGGAGAGUGGAAUUCCUAGUGUAGCGGUGAAAUGCGUAGAGAUUAGGAAGAACACCAGUGGCGAAGGCGACUCUCUGGACUGUAACUGACGCUGAGGCUCGAAAGCGUGGGGAGCAAA
rnacentral:rRNA from 1 species